rnacentral:rRNA from 1 species
CACGGGGGGAGCAAGCGUUGUUCGGAAUCACUGGGCGUAAAGGGCGUGUAGGCGGUCUAGUAAGUGGAAUGUGAAAUCCCUCGGCUCACCCGAGGACCUGCAUCCCAUACUGCUAGGCUUGAGUACGGAAGAGGCGAGUGGAAUUCCUGGUGUAGCGGUGAAAUGCGCAGAUAUCAGGAGGAACACCAAUUGCGAAGGCAGCUCGCUGGGACGUUACUGACGCUGAGACGCGAAAGCGUGGGGAGCAAACAGG